GACGAACGCUGGCGGCGUGCUUAACACAUGCAAGUCGAACGAUGAAACCUAGCUUGCUAGGUCGAUUAGUGGCGAACGGGUGAGUAACACGUGACUAACCUGCCCCUUUCUCUGGGAUAACGCUCCGAAAGGAGUGCUAAUACCGGAUACUCACAUCGAGGCACAUGCCUUGGUGUGGAAAGUUUUUCGGAAAGGGAUGGAGUCGCGGCCUAUCAGCUUGUAGGUGAGGUAACGGCUCACCAAGGCGACGACGGGUAGCCGGGCUGAGAGGGCGACCGGCCACACUGGGGAGGCGGCACGGCCCAGACUCAUACGGGAGGCAGCAGUGGGGAAUAUUGCACAAUGGGCGCAAGCCUGAUGCAGCGGCGCCGCGUGAGGGAUGAAGGUCUUCGGAUUGUAAACCUCUUUCAGUAGGGACGAAGCGAAAGUGACGGUACCUAAAGAAGAAGCACCGGCUAACUACGUGCCAGCCGCCGCCGUAA
rnacentral:rRNA from 1 species